rnacentral:rRNA from 1 species
AUCUUGCACAAUGGGGGCAACCCUGAUGCAGCGACGCCGCGUGAGCGAUGAAGCCCUUCGGGGUGUAAAGCUCUUUCGGCCGGAACGAUAAUGACGGUACCGGCAGAAGAAGCUGCGGCUAACUACGUGCCAGCAGCCGCGGUAAUACGUAGGCAGCGAGCGUUGUUCGGAGUUACUGGGCGUAAAGAGUGCGUAGGCGGUUCUCUAAGUUUGGUGUGAAAUCUCCCGGCUCAACUGGGAGGGUGCGCCGAAAACUGGAGGGCUUGAGUGUGGGAGAGGUAAGCGGAAUUCCUGGUGUAGCGGUGAAAUGCGUAGAUAUCAGGAGGAACACCUGUGGUGUAGACGGCUUACUGGACCAUGACUGACGCUGAGGCACGAAAGCGUGGGGAGCAAAC